rnacentral:lncRNA from 1 species
AAAGGAGAAGUAAAAGAGUUUGAAAUCUUCUAUCUACAAGGUGAGUUCUGAUUUUUCUCUCCAUAUCUUACAAUCUCCCCAACUCUCUCAAAAUAUGAAUGAUGAUACAAUAACUCUAACAACUUAAUUAAAGUCUAAAACACGAAAAAUACUUGAUUGCAAAUAGUGGAAAACUUUGGGAGAUUCUUCAAUUUCUUGAAAUUUUU